CAAUGGCACAAUCCACAUGUUUCUGAGACUCUGAGUAACUAAUCUGAGACACAGAGUCACAAAGGCAAAAUGUAUUAUCGUUAUGGUUUUUUGGGAUUCGACAUUUUCACGCAUUUUCCAUCAUGAAUAUUCAUAAGAUAGUCUCACCUAUAUCUUAAUGUAGUUGGCCAAAUCAUGUGAUCACGUGGCGUGAGAUUCCUGUCCAUUUUACCGAAAUGUCGUUUCUGUUGCUGUGCUAGUGCUACCGCUACCUAAUAAAAAGUAGCAAUAACCACCUGCAGUCCUGCAUGUCUAUCCCAAUCCAUGCAGAAACACUCGACAGGAAUUAAAGCUAUUGUGGUUUGACAGCCAGAAGUCUGUGCUUCUUCAUUGCUGCCCAUGCUAUAUGUUGCAGCCAGCUGGAAUAAGGUGUGAAGAAGGUUUGUUUUCCUGAAAGAGAGAAGUAAUGAAGAAAAAAAAACCAACUUAAACUGAACCAUUUUUCACCUUUUCUGUGGUGGAAAAUCACAUGUAAUGUCAUCAAAAUGUAACGAAAAUCCCCCCUCCCCCAAGGAGAAGAAUAAAGCUGAAUUCUGGUAAGACAAGAAUGUCUGAAGAUCCUUACAUUUUCAAAUUCAAGGAAGAGAAAGAGAACCAUAAUAAAGCAGUCGCUGAGAUGGAUACAUUUAUCAUUUAAAAGUAUUGUCGCUUACGAUGGCACGGUGCGAGGCUCCGACGGACUUGUACUAGAGUCCUUUUUACAGGAUGGUGUGACAGAACAAUUGCAGUUGUGUCUGCAGAAGAAUAGGAGAUGUACGAGAGGCUGCAACUCCUCUAGUUCGAAUUACAAAGUAGCCAGUGGGAAUGUUAGCUGACCAUUUCUAGAUUCCGUUGUGUUAAAGGACGGAACGUCUAUUCCUUGAAAAAGUGGGCCCAGUGUACUACUGUUGUGCAUAAUGGCAAGCAACACAUAAAAUCAAACGUGUUUUUGUUGCACCGGAGUCUGGUGAUGGCGACAUCAUUAUAAAAAGGAUCAGUGUUAACAUUGAGACCAUGCUCGAGAUCGCUGGAAUUCUAGAUUUCAAUCGCCGUCACUCUAACGAUAUUUAAGAGGUGAAAAAAUACUACCGCAUCGAGGCUGCCUCAAGUGCAAUCGUCAAGGAGAUGAGAAACGUGUCUAAAGUGUACGGAAUCACCGAGAUUUUUGGCUCUCUUUUUGGCCAGAUUCGGGACAUCAAGCGAAAGUUACCGGCUAUUCACCCGUUUUGGAAUGGGCGCUUUACUUCACCAUUGUAGCAAUUUUUUACACACACGCUCUCUACGUAACACCAGCUUGAUCCCUGCCAUUGAGCGUCUUAUUCCUCACGUCAAGAGCGGCUCCGUUCCUCACGCCGUCCACCGCUCUGCAGGCCAUCGCCACUGUUAACCACAACAAGUUCUUGUCUAUUAUUCUACCCGUGAUCUUCAAUGCUUUCGCCACCGUCUCCACCUUGUUCCGCGUUCAACCCAAUUUCUUCGAGCUUCACAGCUGAUCGCUGGCGUCAUUUGGGACGCAAUCAAGAAGUUCUUUACUUCGUGAUGACCAUCUUCCGCAACUACGCUGAUUCCAGGAAUCCUUGCACAACUGCAGUUAUUACGACGCCGCGUCGCCCACAUCAAGACCAAGUCCUUCCGUUACCGCCUGGUGAUAAAUCUGGCCACCAGAGCCUUGAAUUCAAUUACAUCUUUCUUAAGAUCAUGAUUCGUUUGGAAGGUGUUGAGGACGUUUAAAAUGUCAAUUUCGGGUGCAUCAAUGCCAACCAUGUCCAUGGCCUGACGGCCUAUGGGGCCUAACGGCCUGACCGGAUCUCCCUGGCCAACCCGAAAUCACCGAGCUUGAUAAAUUUUUCAUUAUUUUUAUCAAAUAGGACUCCUACGUCCGUCUUUUCCGCAAACUGGAUCUCAAGGACUUCAAGCUGGAUACUCUGAAGGAUGUUUUGCAAAAGACCAUAAAGGAUAUACUUUGAUGUACCUUCACGUGGUCAUGAAGAAAACGCUGGACUGGUGGAAGAAAAAGGAUUGACCAAGAUGGUCUCACGGCUUGAAAUUGACCCGCAGCAUGGUCAUGCUCGGCGGACAACACAUUAACUGGAGAGUCAACGAUGUCGAUAUCACCGUUUAAACCGGAAAUCUUGAUGGACAAUCGAGUCCCAAUGUCCCUUUGCGCAGCCCCUUGCUGUUUCUUCGGCAUCUGCUGUGGCAGUUCAAUCGUCACCAAGCGAGGAUUUCGAGCUCUCAGAAGGAGAGUGUAUCAAGCCCCGUUAUGGCAGUUCUUCCUGACGAUGGCUGAAAAUUUAUUGCAGGAACAGUGAAUGGAAUAAUUGCGGUCUCAAAAUAUUGCGGUGUCCGUAAACACUCCUGGAUUCGCUCUCCAUCAGUUGGCAUAUGGAAACGUUAUCCAGCCCACCAUGCUCAUCCGCUCCUAUUUCUAACUGUUGUAAUAACCAUCCACUGGUGCCUGCUCCAUGAAAAGCUGUCCUUUCCUGCACAGGACUCAAACAAGUUAACCCGUGUUCCGAUUUGAAGUCGCUGAAUAUUUCCUAUUAAUCACAACUUCAACUACCAAUCUUCAGCUUUACAUCCCAAAAGUUUAGGACGUGUUACUGCAGUGAUCAAGGUAGUGCAUUUCAUUGGCGCCAAUCCCUGCAGGAGUGCAGGUCUCGCCUCAUAAUAGGAAGCACACAACAAACUUCCAGUGACAGAGAUUUUGUCUAUCAGAGAAUGAGACCAAAUGUGUGGCAUCUGGUUGUCUCUCCCCCCCCCCCCAAAAAAAAAAGACCACAAAUUUCUUCAAUUUGCUGGUAGAUCUCAGAGAGCUAGCAAUACUGCAGACAGGAACUCUUGCUUAAUGCCACCACUUAAGCUAGGUAACAAAGUCAAAUCAAGUUAUAUUUAAUUGUUAUUGUCAAAACAGUGAAUCGCCCAUUAGUAGUUUACAAACAAAUUUAUUAAUCAGGAUCUUUAGUGUAUACAUAUGUAUAAUCUAUGGUGAUGUGACGAUGUCCUUGUCCUGACGUGUCUUUGCAGUGUCUGACCCUCGGUCAAGGUUUUCUAGAUAGUUGAUUUUGGUAUUUAGAACUUUUAGGAUUUUUCGCUACAAAUUUGAAAACCCAUAUGUUUCUAAUGAUUCUUUUAAUUAUUCAAAAUUUAGACUUGACUAAUGAAAUUAAUUUUGUGGGAAACUGCGGACAAGUAGAGCGAAACUUGUGCUACUGUGGUCUCAUUAUUCUCCUCUUUACACGCGGAAAAGCCCAGUGAUGAAUGGAUAAUAAAGUAAUGAGGUCGCCAAGCUGCUCUUGUAAUAGCCAAAAUGGCUAGUUAGUGCAAUGAUAUUUCGUUGCAAUAGAUUUUACCUGCUCAUGCAGGUAGGUGACAAUCCAUUCCGUCUACUCGUCCGUGGAUGCUAAGGGCUAUCACUAGGUGGCUAACAUUAAGAGUCUUCAUUAGAGACGAUGUUUUGCUUAAAUUGCUAUUCUUUUCGAGAUCGAGACACUGUUCGAGAACGUAUUAGUUAUUCAUCACGGGUACUUUUUCCCUGACAUUUUCCUCCUUAAAAUGGUAGGUAAUUAAAUUUAUAUUUUUAGUGUGGUGAGUUUACAGAUAACAGCCUACAAUUUAUAUUUGGCAAUUCCAUCUCAUCUUGUGGCCUGAAAUUGCUUUACAUUAUUUCCCCAAAAUGUCUUUUGCUGCACGUUUCGCCACGUGCAGAAAUACUUCAAAACAGUAAAUUGAGUAACUUGGUCAACUUUUUAACCCUAAUUAGGAUACACAUUAAGUUAUUAGAUGACUUUGUUUCUGGUAGUAGUUGAGAUUUUAUUUUUCUAUUAACAGCCUGGUGAAGUGUGAGCUUCUUCGUUGCAGACCAAUGGACAAGAUUUGUUGCAGCAGGCUGGCGAAAGGUGUCCCUCUUGCAGGCUCGCUACCUGUACAGGUUGCAGCUUUUGUCACAUGCAGCAACACAUCAGAACAAUUUAAAUAGGAUUAACAGCCUCUUAACUCAAGGUCUGAGCUACUUUGUUGGUCCAAUGUGCAUGCUUCGUAGAAUAUUUCAUAUUGAUAAAAUUUAUUUAAUGAAGGUAAAUGGUAAAUAUUUAUGAUUGGGGAUGAAAAACUUCUGUACAUAAUAGUAUUAAUAAGAUUGUAAACAGUUAUAGUACUUUAUGAAAUCUUUAAAAUACAAUGUUAUAUAUA